GGAUGUGAGGCCAAUCUGGCUGUGACAUCUGUCACCCACUGAUUGCCAGGGUUGAUUCAGCUGAUAUGGUUGACUAGGCAGGUGUCCCCUUCCUCCCUCACCACUCCAUGUGUGUUCCUCCCAAAACUUCAUGCUUGCUUGAUGAAGACGACCUUCCCCAAUUAAGAAACACCAUUCUUCAGUCAAGGGUAUACAAGUAGCUCCACUUCCCUGCUAGAAACUCUAAACACUGGAAGAAGGUAAGUCAGUUGUAACUCAUGUCACGUAAGUGGGUUUUGGAUUAUCCACACGAUUAACUC
ensembl:misc_RNA 7SK 7SK RNA